UCUAUUCUCUCUCUCUCUACAAGUUUGAUCUCCUAUGGUGCCAACACAUCACAUACCCAUACCCAACAACACCACAACUCACCACUCUCUCUCUCUCUCUCUCUCUCUCUCUCUUCACAAAACCCAUUUUCUGGGUCUUUUUCAAUUCUAUUUAAAUUCUUUCAUUUCUUGAUUCUUUUUAUUUUUUGGGGAGUUUUGCCAUCUCUGUUUUUGAAGUUUAUUGUGAAGUUUGUGAAGCGGUGGAGGAUCUUCCCAUUUUUUUUUUUUUUUUUUGCAAUGGAUUUCUGGUUCCAGAACUUUCGGUGAUUUCAGGCUUGAUCUGGGUUUUCAACGGCUUUGAUCGCUGUUUUUGUGUGAUUGUAGUGAGAGAGAAAGAAAUAUGUUGGGUUUAUCGAGGUUUAUCGAGAUAUGUUGGGUUUAUCGAUGGCUGAAGGGGGAUCUCAUUACUGCUCUAAAAAGAAGGACGAUAUUUGCGGUGAUGGUUGCGAUAAGGUGUGGUUUAUGGCGGGGUUUUCACACAUUUUUUUGUUGAUUUUUAUGAGGUUAUUGGAAUUGAUCUUUUGUCACAAUCUCUAUUGCUAGCUAUAGUUGAACUUGCUGAGGAUAGGCAUUGGAGGGUUCGACUUGCAAUAAUAGAGUACAUACCUUUAUUGGCAAGUCAGUUGGGUGUGGGAUUUUUUGAUGAUAAGCUUGGUGCUCUCUGUAUGCAGUGGUUGCAGGAUAAGUUCAUGAAUUUUUGACGCAGUUUAUCAGUUUCUAUAAUGAAAGGUUCUCAAUAUAAUCAAAGGUACAACUCUCUCACACAAUUUUUCUUUAUUACAUCUCUUUCAUUACUUAUAUAAUUUUGAUAAAAGUUAAAUUGUUUGGUUUGUUACUUUUUUAGUUAUGUUUUAAACAAAGCUCCCUUUCCAUUUGCAUAAAAGAUAGGCAAAAUGGGACUAAUGAGCAGUAAACCACGAUUAAAAAAAAAAAUAGUAUUACUCAAACUUUUUGCUUUUAUUUGCUUUUUUCACUAGAUUAUUUUUCUUAAUCUUUCUUUUUUCUUAUGGAGCUUAGUAAAGGGUGUUGUAGUAGUCUUUGUAGCUUUUUUGUUAGUGGUUUUGGUGAAUGUUAAAGUAGUGGAAUGAAAUUGAAUGGAUUAGUAUGACCUAUGCACUGUACACUAGAUUUCUUUUCCCCCUAUAAGAAAGUGUUGGCUUGGCCAUUACAUAUUUUGGGGAUUGUUGAGAGUGUGUGUUGAAAAUUUAAACCAAAAAGAAAAUGUGCAUAAUGAGGAUUGAAAAAUUGAAAAAAGAAAAGAAAAUGGAAGAUAAACAUAGAUAAAUCUCUUUUCUUUUUUUUUGGUGAACACACAGACUAAUCUUAGGUAACAAAAUGCCUUUCUUAAGACAAUAUACAUUGGUAAAUUUUGAGUUACUUUGGAAAUAACUUUGUGCUUAGUUUUGGAAUCCCCCAUUGUCAAAAUAAAAAUUGAUGUCUAAUUGUCUUUUAAAUUGGUUUUUCAGGAUUUACAAAUUUACAUUUUAUUUAAGAGAAAAAUAAAGUUAUAGGUUCUUUUUUCCUCUCUAUUUCUGUCUUCUCUUUUUUAACCUCUUGGAAUAUGAGGACAACAAAAUCGUGGUGUAGAGUUUUUGUUGUCCCAUUGUUCUUCUUGCCUGGUUUAGUUAGUAAAGGAAAACAAGUGUUUUCAUUUUUUGUCAAGUACAUAAUAAAUGUAGUAAAACUAGAUAAGGAAAUAUGUGAAGAAAGUGAGUUGGACUGUGUGUGAUGACAAGUGGGGUUUGAUAAAUGAUAGAUGCUUUUGAGUAGUUAAAAAGUUUAUUACAUAUUAUGUGAUGUUGAUUUGAAAAUACUGAACAUUAGACAUUUUUACUUUAAUCCAUCUAAUCUAACUUUAUUAUUAUUUUUCAAAUUUAAUUUUUAUUUUUUUUUUUAAUUUCAGGUAUCGAUAUUAGAAUGGCUAUUGAACGACUUUCAAAUCCUUUUAACUUUGGCCAAUUUUUAGGGUAACAAUUUCAUUUUUAAAAUUGUCUUAGUUAAUGUAUUUGAUGGCUUCUUACGAAAAGUACAAAAUAAAGGAGAAAUAAUCUUGGGAUUAAUCUUCUCCUGUCCAAUUUUAUUACUGGUAUACACUGUCAGCCCAACUUUAAUCUUGGGAUUAAUCUUGGGACAAAAUGUUUGGAGAUAUUGGGAUUAAUCUUGGGAUUAAUCCCAACAUCAAUUUUAUAGCAAUUGUCAUCCCAACAUUAAUCUCAAAAUGUUGUCGUAGGGGUUUACCAUCCCAAUAUAGAUGGACAUGAGAGAUGACCCAUCACUACUGAUUGUCCUAUAUAUAAUGCAAAGGACUCCCAGAUUGGGGACACACUAAUAGACCUUUUUGAGACUCCUUUAGCUUUGCCAUUCUAUGUCAAUAACUCAAUUUUUUUUAAUGUUUUUUAAUUUCCCAACAGUGGCUUCAAGACCCAUUGUUCAACACCAAAAUAGAGAUAUUUUACAUUGUCUAUUGAAUUUCCCUUUUUCUGCUCUUGAUCGUUGUUGUUGGUUAAUUAUGUUGUUUGGAUUU